AUUGAACGCUGGCGGCAUGCUUUACACAUGCAAGUCGAACGGUAACAGGGUGCUUGCACCGCUGACGAGUGGCGAACGGGUGAGUAAUACAUCGGAAUGUACCCAGUAAUGGGGGAUAACGCUUCGAAAGGAGUGCUAAUACCGCAUACGCCCUGAGGGGGAAAGUGGGGGACCGCAAGGCCUCACGUUAUGGGAGCAGCCGAUGGCUGAUUAGCUAGUUGGUGAGGUAAAGGCUCACCAAGGCGACGAUCAGUAGCGGGUCUUAGAGGACGAUCCGCCAAACUGGAACUGAGACACGGUCCAGACUCCUACGGGAGGCAGCAGUGGGAAUCUUGGACAAUGGGCGAAAGCCUGAUCCAGCAAUGCCGCGUGCGUGAAGAAGGCCUUCGGGUUGUAAAGCGCUUUUGUCUGGGAGCAAAUCCUGGCCUCUAAUACAGGUCGGGGAUGAGAGUACCAGAAGAAGGACCGGCCAACUACGUGCCAGCCGCCGCCGUAAAAC
rnacentral:rRNA from 1 species